CUCUCCUACGGGACGCAGCAGUGAGGAAUAUUGGUCAAUGGCCGAGAGGCUGAACCAGCCAAGUCGCGUGAGGGAUGACGGCCCUCGGGUUGUAAACCGCUUUCAGCAGGGAAGAUAUUGACGGUACCUGCAGAAGAAGCUCCGGCUAACUACGUGCCAGCAGCCGCGGUAAUACGUAGGGAGCGAGCGUUAUCCGGAUUCAUUGGGCGUAAAGCGCGCGUAGGCGGCUGCCUAAGCGGAACCUCUAACCCCGGGGCUCAACCUCGGGCCGGGUUCCGAACUGGGCGGCUCGAGUGCGGUAGAGG
rnacentral:rRNA from 1 species